rnacentral:rRNA from 1 species
GAUGAACGCUGGCGGCGUGCCUAAUACAUGCAAGUCGAGCGAACGGACGAGAAGCUUGCUUUUCUGAUGUUAGCGGCGGACGGGUGAGUAACACGUGGAUAACCUACCUAUAAGACUGGGAUAACUUCGGGAAACCGGAGCUAAUACCGGAUAAUAUUUUGAACCGCAUGGUUCAAAAGUGAAAGACGGUCUUGCUGUCACUUAUAGAUGGAUCCGCGCUGCAUUAGCUAGUUGGUAAGGUAACGGCUUACCAAGGCAACGAUGCAUAGCCGACCUGGGAGGGUGGUCGGCCACACUGGAACUGAGACACGGUCCAGACUCCUACGGGAGGCAGCAGUAGGGAAUCUUCCGCAAUGGGCGAAAGCCUGACGGAGCAACGCCGCGUGAGUGAUGAAGGUCUUCGGAUCGUAAAACUCUGUUAUUAGGGAAGAACAUAUGUGUAAGUAACUGUGCACAUCUUGACGGUACCUAAUCAGAAAGCCACGGCUAACUACGUG